rnacentral:rRNA from 1 species
AUUGAACGCUGGCGGCAUGCUUUACACAUGCAAGUCGAACGGUAACAGGUUAAGCUGACGAGUGGCGAACGGGUGAGUAAUGCAUCGGAACGUGCCCGAUCGUGGGGGAUAACGCAGCGAAAGCUGCGCUAAUACCGCAUACGAUCUGAGGAUGAAAGCGGGGGACCGUAAGGCCUCGCGCGAUCGGAGCGGGCGAUGUCAGAUUAGGUAGUUGGUGGGGUAAAGGCUCACCAAGCCAACGAUCUGUAGCUGGUCUGAGAGGACGACCAGCCACACUGGGACUGAGACACGGGCCAGACUCCUACGGGAGGCAGCAGUGGGGAAUUUUGGACAAUGGGCGAAAGCCUGAUCCAGCAAUGCCGCGUGCAGGAAGAAGGCCUUCGGGUUGUAAACUGCUUUUGUACGGAGCGAAAAGGUCUCCUCUAAUACAGGGGGCUCAUGACGGUACCGUAAGAAUAAGCACCGGCUAACUACGUGCCAGCCGCCGCCGUAA